rnacentral:rRNA from 1 species
GAUUAACGCUGGCGGCGUGCCUAACACAUGCAAGUCGAACGAGGUAGCAAUACCUAGUGGCAGACGGGUGAGUAACGCGUGGUCAACCUACCGUUGAGUGGGGGAUAACUAGCCGAAAGGUUAGCUAAUACCGCAUACGUCUCCGAGGGGCAUCCCUUGGCGAUAAAAGGAGCAAUCCGCUCGAUGACGGGACCGCGUCCCAUUAGCUAGAUGGUGGGGUAACGGCCUACCAUGGCACCGANGGGGUAGCUGGUUUGAGAGAGCGACCAGCCACACUGGGACUGAGAAACGGCCCAGACUCCUACGGGAGGCAGCAGUGAGGAAUUUUCCGCAAUGGGCGCAAGCCUGACGGAGCGACGCCGCGUGUGGGAAGAAGGCCUCGGUCGUAACC